UAACGCGUGGGAACGUGCCCUUCUCUACGGAAUAGCCAUUGGAAACGAUGAGUAAUACCGUAUACGCCCUUUGGGGGAAAGAUUUAUCGGAGAAGGAUCGGCCCGCGUUAGAUUAGAUAGUUGGUGGGGUAACGGCCUACCAAGUCUACGAUCUAUAGCUGGUUUUAGAGGAUGAUCAGCAACACUGGGACUGAGACACGGCCCAGACUCCUACGGGAGGCAGCAGUGGGGAAUCUUAGACAAUGGGCGCAAGCCUGAUCUAGCCAUGCCGCGUGUGUGAUGAAGGCCCUAGGGUCGUAAAGCACUUUCGCCAGGGAUGAUAAUGACAGUACCUGGUAAAGAAACCCCGGCUAACUCCGUGCCAGCAGCCGCGGUAAUACGGAGGGGGUUAGCGUUGUUCGGAAUUACUGGGCGUAAAGCGCGCGUAGGCGGAUUGGAAAGUUGGGGGGUGAAAUCCCGGGGCUCAACCCCGGAACUGCCCCCAAAACUAUCAGUCUAGAGUUCGAGAGAGGUGAGUGGAAUUCCGAGUGUAGAGGUGAAAUUCGUAGAUAUUCGGAGGAACACCAGUGGCGAAAGGCGGCUCACUGGCUCGAUACUGACGCUGAGGUGCGAAAGUGUGGGGAGCAAACAGGAUUAGAUACCC
rnacentral:rRNA from 1 species